rnacentral:rRNA from 1 species
AUUGAACGCUGGCGGCAUGCUUUACACAUGCAAGUCGAACGGUAACAGGGUGCUUGCACCGCUGACGAGUGGCGAACGGGUGAGUAAUGCGUCGGAACGUGCCGAGUAGCGGGGGAUAACUGCUCGAAAGAGCAGCUAAUACCGCAUACGACCUGAGGGUGAAAGCGGGGGAUCGCAAGACCUCGCGCAAUUGGAGCGGCCGAUAUCGGAUUAGGUAGUUGGUGGGGUAAAGGCCCACCAAGCCAACGAUCUGUAGCUGGUCUGAGAGGACGACCAGCCACACUGGGACUGAGACACGGCCCAGACUCCUACGGGAGGCAGCAGUGGGGAAUUUUGGACAAUGGACGCAAGUCUGAUCCAGCCAUGCCGCGUGCGGGAAGAAGGCCUUCGGGUUGUAAACCGCUUUUGUCAGGGAAGAAAAGGGCGACUCUAAUACAGUUGCCUCAUGACGGUACCUGAAGAAUAAGCACCGGCUAACUACGUGCCAGCAGCCGCCGUAAAAC